CUGAUGAGAUUUAACACGAAGUGAGUGGCGGACGGGUGAGUAACACGUGGGUAACCUGCCCAGAAGCAGGGGAUAACACCUGGAAACAGAUGCUAAUACCGUAUAACAGAGAAAACCGCCUGGUUUUCUUUUAAAAGAUGGCUCUGCUAUCACUUCUGGAUGGACCCGCGGCGCAUAGCUAGUUGGUGAGGUAACGGCUCACCAAGGCGAUGAUGCGUAGCCGACCUGAGAGGGUAAUCGGCCACAUUGGGACUGAGACACGGCCCAGACUCCUACGGGAGGCAGCAGUAGGGAAUCUUCCACAAUGGACGCAAGUCUGAUGGAGCAACGCCGCGUGAGUGAAGAAGGGUUUCGGCUCGUAAAGCUCUGUUGUUAAAGAAGAACGUGGGUGAGAGUAACUGUUCACCCAGUGACGGUAUUUAACCAGAAAGCCACGGCUAACUACGUGCCAGCAGCCGCGGUAAUACGUAGGUGGCAAGCGUUAUCCGGAUUUAUUGGGCGUAAAGCGAGCGCAGGCGGUCUUUUAAGUCUAAUGUGAAAGCCUUCGGCUCAACCGAAGAAGUGCAUUGGAAACUGGGAGACUUGAGUGCAGAAGAGGACAGUGGAACUCCAUGUGUAGCGGUGAAAUGCGUAGAUAUAUGGAAGAACACCAGUGGCGAAGGCGGCUGUCUGGUCUGUAACUGACGCUGAGGCUCGAAAGCAUGGGUAGCGAACAGGAUUAGAUACCCUGGUAGUCCAUGCCGUAAACGAUGAUUACUAAGUGUUGGAGGGUUUCCGCCCUUCAGUGCUGCAGCUAACGCAUUAAGUAAUCCGCCUGGGGAGUACGACCGCAAGGUUGAAACUCAAAAGAAUUGACGGGGGCCCGCACAAGCGGUGGAGCAUGUGGUUUAAUUCGAAGCUACGCGAAGAACCUUACCAGGUCUUGACAUCUUCUGCCAACCUAAGAGAUUAGGCGUUCCCUUCGGGGACAGAAUGACAGGUGGUGCAUGGUGUCGUCAGCUCG
rnacentral:rRNA from 1 species